GAUGAACGCUGGCGGCGUGCCUAAUACAUGCAAGUCGAGCGAACAGACGAGGAGCUUGCUCCUCUGACGUUAGCGGCGGACGGGUGAGUAACACGUGGAUAACCUACCUAUAAGACUGGGAUAACUUCGGGAAACCGGAGCUAAUACCGGAUAAUAUAUUGAACCGCAUGGUUCAAUAGUGAAAGACGGUUUUGCUGUCACUUAUAGAUGGAUCUGCGCCGCAUUAGCUAGUUGGUAAGGUAAAGGCUUACCAAGGCAACGAGGCGUAGCCGACCUGAGAGGGUGGUCGGCCACACUGGAGCUGAGACACGGUCCAGACUCUUGCGGGAGGCAGCAGUAGGGAAUCGGCCGCAAUGGGCGAAAGCCUGACGGAGCAACGCCGCGUGAGUGAUGAAGGUCUUCGGAUCGUAAAACUCUGUUAUUAGGGAAGAACAAAUGUGUAAGUAACUAUGCACGUCUUGACGGUACCUAAUCAGAAAGCCACGGCUAACUACGUG
rnacentral:rRNA from 1 species